UAACAAUAAUGGUCAAGAUUCUAAAACUUCGUGCAAAAAAGUCAUUUUCUUGUCCACAAAAAUUAUUGU